GGUUGUAUAGUGUAGUGGUUAGCACACCGGAUUUUGAUGUCUGAUUGAAACAUUCCGGUAACCUGGGUUCGAGUCCCGGUACGACCU